CUAAUCUGCAAUCCUGGCAGCCCAUCAGUAUUUUAGAAUUUUGUAAAUUCUGGGUCCCGUCUUUAAAGGACCACUAUAGUGCCAGGAAAACAAACUUGUUUUCCUGGCAUUAUAGUGUUAAAAGGUCCCCCCCUGCCGGGCUGUAAGGGGAGGAAGGGGUUAAAGGCUUACCUUUCUCCAGCGCCGGGCUCCCUCAGUGCUGGGAACUCUCCUCCCUCUUCCACCGAAUGCGCAUGCGCGGCAAGAACCGCACGCUCAUUCAGUCAGUCCAUAGGAAAGCAUUC